rnacentral:rRNA from 1 species
GCCUUGGUGCCUUCGGGAACGCUGAGACAGGUGCUGCAUGGCUGUCGUCAGCUCGUGUUGUGAAAUGUUGGGUUAAGUCCCGNAACGAGCGCAACCCUUAUCCUUUGUUGCCAGCGAUUCGGUCGGGAACUCAAAGGAGACUGCCGGUGAUAAACCGGAGGAAGGUGGGGAUGACGUCAAGUCAUCAUGGCCCUACGAGUAGGGCUACACACGUGCUACAAUGGCGCAUACAAAGAGAAGCGACCUCGCGAGAGCAAGCGGACCUCAUAAAGUGCGUCGUAGUCCGGAUCGGAGUCUGCAACUCGACUCCGUGAAGUCGGAAUCGCUAGUAAUCGUGGAUCAGAAUGCCACGGUGAAUACGUUCCCGGGCCUUGUACACACCGCCCGUCACACCAUGGGAGUGGGUUGCAAAAGAAGUAGGUAGCUUAACCUUCGGGAGGGCGCUUACCACUUUGUGAUUCAUGACUGGGGUGAAGUCGUAACAAGGUAGGCGUAGCGAG